rnacentral:lncRNA from 1 species
GAUGUCCGUAUCCACUCUUUCUCGUAGAAUCGAACCUCCUUCUUGACAUACGUUGCUGCUCGGCGGAAAACAUCCUCGGAGAGAUGAACACGGUAUGCAAGUUCAACAAGUAGCAGAAGUCAUCUAUGUACAAAAAUUCUUUCCUUACCACUACAGAAGUUGUUGAACUUGAAGACCGUGAUCAAUUCGCGAGGAUGUCCUCAGCUGGGCGGCACCGUACUUCGUCAUGAAAGAGGUUAGAUGCUACGGAAAAGGGGACACGGUCACGAUGUCCGUAUCCACUCUUUCUCGUAGAAUCGAACCUCCUUCUUGACAUACGUUGUUGCUCGGCGGAGAACAUCCUCGCCGAGAUGAACACGGUAUGCAAGUUUAACAAGUAUGGAUUUGAAAAAUCUUAUUGAAUUUGAUAAGAUAAACCAUCUAGACAAGGUAGCAUCAUUCUUAAACCACUGCAAGAAUACAUACUAUAUAUGACACAUCAAUCUCCC